rnacentral:rRNA from 1 species
GACGAACGCUGGCGGCGUGCUUAACACAUGCAAGUCGAACGGAAAGGCCCUGCUUUUGUGGGGUGCUCGAGUGGCGAACGGGUGAGUAACACGUGAGUAACCUGCCCUUGACUUUGGGAUAACUUCAGGAAACUGGGGCUAAUACCGGAUAGGAGCUCCUGCUGCAUGGUGGGGGUUGGAAAGUUUCGGCGGUUGGGGAUGGACUCGCGGCUUAUCAGCUUGUUGGUGGGGUAGUGGCUUACCAAGGCUUUGACGGGUAGCCGGCCUGAGAGGGUGACCGGCCACAUUGGGACUGGGAUACGAGCCAGACGCCUACGGGAGGCAGCAGUGGGGAAUAGUGCACAAUGGGCGGAGUGCGGAUGCAGCAACGCCGCGUGCGGGAUGACGGCCUUCGGGUUGUAAACCGCUUUCGCCUGUGACGAAGCGUGAGUGACGGUAAUGGGUAAAGAAGCACCGGCUAACUACGUG